rnacentral:rRNA from 1 species
AACGAACGCUGGCGGCAUGCCUAACACAUGCAAGUCGAACGAGACCUUCGGGUCUAGUGGCGCACGGGUGCGUAACGCGUGGGAAUCUGCCCUUGGGUGCGGAAUAACUUUCCGAAAGGAAUGCUAAUACCGCAUAAUGUCGUAAGACCAAAGAUUUAUCGCCCAAGGAUGAGCCCGCGUAAGAUUAGCUAGUUGGUGGGGUAAAAGCCUACCAAGGCGACGAUCUUUAGCUGGUCUGAGAGGAUGAUCAGCCUCACUGGGACUGAGACACGGCCCAGACUCCUACGGGAGGCAGCAGUGGGGAAUAUUGGACAAUGGGCGAAAGCCUGAUCCAGCAAUGCCGCGUGAGUGAUGAAGGCCCUAGGGUUGUAAAGCUCUUUUACCCGGGAUGAUAAUGACAGUACCGGGAGAAUAAGCUCCGGCUAACUUCGUGCCAGCAGCCGCCGUAACAC